rnacentral:tRNA from 1 species
UGCCCAAUAGCCAAAUUGGUAAGGCACCUGCCUCUGACGCAGGCAUCGUCUUGGUUCGAGUCCAGGUUGGGCAGCCA